GCUAGUCCUGACUCAGCCAGU
rnacentral:miRNA from 3 species